GAUGAACGCUGGCGGCGUGCCUAAUACAUGCAAGUCGAGCGAACGGACGAGAAGCUUGCUUCUCUGAUUUUAUCGGCUGUCGGGUGAGUAACACGUGGAUAACCUACCUAUAAGACUGGGAUAACUUCGGGAAACCGGAGCUAAUACCGGAUAAUAUUUUGAACCGCUUGGUUCAAAAGUUUAAUACGGUCUUUCUGUCUCUUAUAGAUUGAUCCGCGCUGCAUUAGCUAGUUGGUAAGGUAACGGCUUACCAAGGCAACGAUGCAUAUCCGACAUGAGAGGGUGAGCGGACACACUGGAACAGAGAAAAGGUACAGACAACUACGGGAGGCAGCAGUAGGGAAUCGUCCGCAAUGGGGGAAAGGAGGACGGAGCAAAGGCGCGGGAGUGAUGAAGGACUUAGGAUCGGAAAACUAUGUUAGUAGGGAAGAAAAAAUGUGUAAGUAACUGUGAACAUAAUGACGGUACCUAAUGAGAAAGCCACGGCUAACUACGUG
rnacentral:rRNA from 1 species